rnacentral:snoRNA from 1 species
AGGCAGCCAAUUAAGCUGACCAGUCCCCUCUCCCCAUGGGGGCCUGGUGUGCAGUGACUGUGAACAGCAGCUUCCUUGGUAUUGUACAUGGCCUGUUGCUUGUAUGGGUUGCCCUAAGGGACCUUGGAGACUGCC